GCUUACUGUUUGACCAAUCGCGUGCGAGAUAUUCUGAGCGACCCGUUGACCUGCCAAUCGGAUUUAAGAACUUCAUUCGUUCGCCGGUGUGCGCCUUUGAGUUACGUAUUCUAGCAGUUUCGACUCGGUAGUAACGCGGGCUGUCGAAGACAACUAGAGAGUACGGGCCAAACCGCGGUGUAACAAUGGUGAAGCUGUUCAUUGGAAACCUUACCGAGGAGACGGGGAGGGAAGAAAUCGAGGCACUGUUCACACCGUACGGCACUGUAACAGAAUGCGCCAAAUACAAAAACUACGCCUUUGUACACAUGGAUGACCGCAAGGCAGCCACGAAAGCCAUCCGUGAGCUCAAUCUCUAUCAGCUAAACGGUAGACCUAUGAACGUGGAGCCCAGCCGAGGGAACAACCAGGGCCCGGUCAAGAUCCACAUCGCCAAUGUGGAGAAGGGCUUUGAAAAAGAGCUCAGAGAGCUGUUCGAAGAAUAUGGCACAGUCACGGAGUGCGCUAUCGUGAAGAAUUUUGCGUUUGUUCACAUGGCCAACUCUGAGGAAGCCAUGGAUGCCAUAAAAGGCUUGGAUAACACAAGUUUUCAAGGACAAAACAUUCAUGUGCAGCUGUCAAAAAGUAAGCCCGCAUGGGCUUCGGGUGAAGAGGAGUUUGGUCCGCCACCCCCUGGUCGAGGAGGCUUCUAUCCCCCUCCUCAUCCUCCCCGCUUCCAUCCCGAGCCUCCCUACGGGGGGCGCAUGUCCUCUUACCCGCCCCCACCCCCACCGCCGCCUCCUCCGAGGCGACCAAUGUACGACCGCGGCUACGGUGAGCGUGAAGGCUAUGGCGGCGGAGUGGUGGAUUAUUACGAGAAAUUCCGCGCCCGUCCUUAUGGCGCCCCGGGCUACGACGAUCGGCGUCCUGGGGCCAUCCCACCACCGCCGCCACCACCCCCACCUUCAGCGAUGGGAAGAGAACGUGUUGGGAUGGGCUCCCACGAAGGGUACGACCGUCGGCCAAUUCCCCCAGCGCCCUACAUGGCCCGCGACCGCAGCCCCAUUAGGCGACCCCCCCAUCCUCCUCCCCCGCCUGCUGCGGCGGCCGGUAACGGGUACUCCUACGAGCGCACCCGCUUCACCCCGCAGAUGAAACCUCAGCCGUAUGCGCCGCCGUAUCCCCGGAACAACUAUACACCAACCGGUCCCGUUCCUGCACCGCCGCAACCCAACUACACUGGCUAUCCGGCCCAGGGAGUUUAACGCUGCGGUUUAGAAUAUGUCAAGAACGCCGUCUGCUGAUGCGCAUGGUGCUAUACGCUCCCCCCGCUCCCGCACGUCUAUGGUGGAUUGCGUUGCGUUCGCCGGAGACUUACUGGAAGAUACUCUAUUGCGGACAGCGACGUUCUUAUAAAAAAACAACAAAAACAAAAAAACCAUGCGAUUCCUUGUUGCAUUUACGUAUAUAUGAGUUGUCAAUGCCUUUUCUGUUCCUCUGUGUUACUCUUCAAAUUCUUACUUUUUGAGUUACAGUGCUUAGUUCGGUGUGACGCAUUACUACACUGCUUUUCGAUCUUUUUCAAUUCACAUGGCCGUAGAAUAACGCCAUUACAACCAUCAGUUAAGAUGGUAUGUUCAAUCUUUUGUAAAAAAGUAGCUUUUGUGUAGACUUGAGUUUGGUUUCCCGAUAAGUUACAAAAACAAAAAAAAAAGCGUCGGGAGUGUUUCUCGAUACACAUCUACACUUGUGUCGUUUUAUAAAAUAGUGGAUUACUUGUGCGACCUGUACGCAUGUCAAAUCAAAAUUUUAGUUUUCUCUUGAUGCUCUUGUUGUCUGUUUUCCCUCGCUGAUAUAGCAAAGUUGUGUAUGGUUCUAGUUAGCUUGCCUUUUUUUCCCCCCUCUCGUUUGAAGGCUUUUUAAUAAAAAGAUGAAAACAAACGUGACGAGUUUUAGCUGUCAAGUCAUUGCCCGUCCGUCGCAGGCAGAGAUCAUAAUCACGGCGUGGAGAUGCUUUCGCUAUGAGUCCUCCGGCCGGUUUGAAGCUCGACAGCGGGUAGGUGUGGUCAGCCCCAAUGCUGAGAAAUGACUUGUUUUGUCUCAAUUCUGGUCGCACACGUGACAAAACUCCCUCCUUUGGCGCCUAAUAAAAUAAGCAUGCGAUUAGACGAGGCUCUUUCAUGAUCUUUCGGCACCUACUCAUUAAAUGCUCACUCACUUCAUAGCCGGUCAGCUGUUGCAGUGAUUUGAUCUGUAAUAGAUGAAACCCUCUAUGGAUUUAUGUCUUGGUGUUCUCAGUCUUUGCUCUUUUUAGGUUGUUAGACUCGCCCGGGGACGUCGAGUUCAUGGCCUGUCUACUGCUGGGACUCGAUUCAGAGUCUGCGGGGUUUUGAGAGACGUGCGCUGAAGGAAACCUGGGGAUCCGAUGACCUCGCAAUUGAAGCUUGCUGAAGAGAGAAUUUUUGUUCAUGCGAGACAUUCACUACUCAGGGAUGUCAACACGAAACAUUUCGAGUUUAUACGUAGACUAUGCCACAGUGACGUGCCCUUUUUUAUGAUGGAAUAUGCACUCCAAGAACUUUUUGGGGUACCCCUUUUUUUGAUAGGCAACAGUUUUUGUGCCUCAACUUCAGGGAGAAAUGAAUAUGAAGUCAUCAUCCGGAAUGAACUUGCAUCUUUCAAAUUAAACGCGUCAAUAUUUUAUUGCACCGUUUGGAGGUUGAUGGACAAUGUUCACAUUUUAAGAUUUGACAAGUUGUUUUUUUUAUGA